AACUACGUUUAACGUCACCCGCGCGCGUAGGUUUAUGAGAAAUUCGUCUUUGAAAAAAACAAACAAUUCGGAAUUCCGUAUGUCUGUUCCGGUUUGGUUCUACAAUUAGCGACUGAAUUCUGCUUCCCGUAGUGACAGAAAAUGUGCUUUGAUAAAGGCAGUUGGUGUCUUAUUAAAGAAAACUAGUGAAUUAAAGAGUUUGGGACCAUAAAUGGAGAAGCUUACCGAAGAUAGGGCCUUUCAAGUGAAGGAGAGUAAGGAAAGAAGUUGGGGUAUUCCAAGACGUGAAGAAUCCUGUCCUUAGUGUGGAAUUCAAGAUAUUGAUCAACUAUUCCCAUAAGAAG